GACGAACGCUGGCGGCGUGCCUAAUACAUGCAAGUAGAACGCUGAAGGAGGAGCUUGCUUCUCUGGAUGAGUUGCGAACGGGUGAGUAACGCGUAGGUAACCUGCCUGGUAGCGGGGGAUAACUAUUGGAAACGAUAGCUAAUACCGCAUAAGAGUAGAUGUUGCAUGACAUUUACUUAAAAGGUGCAAUUGCAUCACUACCAGAUGGACCUGCGUUGUAUUAGCUAGUUGGUGAGGUAACGGCUCACCAAGGCAACGAUACAUAGCCGACCUGAGAGGGUGAUCGGCCACACUGGGACUGAGACACGGCCCAGACUCCUACGGGAGGCAGCAGUAGGGAAUCUUCGGCAAUGGACGGAAGUCUGACCGAGCAACGCCGCGUGAGUGAAGAAGGGUUUCGGAUCGUAAAGCUCGGUUGUAAGAGAAGAACGAGUGUGAGAGUGGAAAGUUCACACUGUGACGGUAUCUUACCAGAAAGGGACGGCUAACUACGUG
rnacentral:rRNA from 1 species